UACGGCCACAUCACGUUGAAAUACCCGUUCCCUUAAGAUAACCGAAGUUAAGCAACAUCGAACUAGAUCGGUACCUAGAUGGGUGACUUCUUGGGAAUACCAGGUGCUGUAAG